GGGCGCGUUUGGUUUUGGUUAAAGGAUUAGGCAGUAUAGUUUAGCUAAUGGUUACCUAAUGUAGAUAAAGCGUGAUUAAUAAUACUGAUUGGUGUUUGAUAUUAUAGUUAGUCACGCCUUUAUUUAGUUUGGUAUCCACUAAUAUAGGUUAGAUUAACAUAAAGAAGGACACAUUUGUCCCUCUGUAAUUUUCGAAAAUACCCGCCUACCCUUCUCUCAACCACAUCAUCUGCAACUCUCAAAUUAGAGCAACAAAGAAAUCAGACUUGAAACACACAUUGCAGUAAGAACCAAAGAAUUAUUGAUAAGUUAAACAAACAUUAUCCAGCACAAAAACAUUCCUUAUUGAAAUUGUUAUACAGAAAUCCAUUAUCUGUCUCCUAGGGCACGAAUGCAGACGCCGACUAAUUUUUAUACCCAAACUAGAUUCAGCACAAACAACACACAAAUCAACUACAACCAUCCUAUAUUCAUAAANAAAUCGAAAAAAUGGUGCAAUUCUAUGGAGUGAUUCAGUUCUGGAAGCGCGAUAUUGAAUUUAUAACCAUAAUUUUGGAAUCGGCGAUGACAACAAAUUAUAUAACAAUCGAAUCCAUAAAUCCACAUAAAAAAUGAAAACCAAUUUCAGUCGAAGAUUCGAACGAUGUGGUUCUUCACCGUUCUAGUUGCUGCUUUGGAUUUGUUUUGAUUUUUGCUUCAGAAUAGUGACGAAGGAGAAAGAAAUGAGGAAGAAAGAGGGUUAUGUCUUUUUUUGAAUGAGCUUCGAAUUUCGUGCGAAGGGUAAAAAAGAUAAAUAAUUUCUCUGGCAUCUGGAUUAUGGAUAAUCGGAGGGGGGAGGCGGUAUUAGUAAUCUUGAGUAAUCCGCCAAAUUUCGUCCGGGCCUUGACAUUGCGCCGGGCCGUCCGUGGUGCUCGCAGAGGAAACCAAACAUAAGAC
rnacentral:lncRNA from 1 species